rnacentral:SRP_RNA from 1 species
CCGUACUAGGUGGGAAGUUAGCAGUGUCCUGUACCAGAAAUCUGCUAUAUGCUGGGCCGAAUGCCAACCUCGGAGGCAAGUUUGGGUUAUUUAGUUUAAUAAUGUGUGCGUUGAGUUUAAGGUCUUAUGCAAUCACUUACUGUGAAUCAUAUCAGGUCCGGAAGGAAGCAGUAUUAAACAGACUUAGUGGUGUGCCAUAAGGUAGCUUUAAAGGAGCA